CCUUUGCCGCUGCUGUUGGCAAUCUCGUCGGCCAGCUCGUCCCGCUCCUGCUGGGCCUGGCGCUUGGCUCGCUCGGCAGCAGCCAGCUCCUAUCAAGGGAAUGCAGAUCGGAAGAGCCGUGUAGGGAAGGAG